rnacentral:rRNA from 1 species
UGGGGAAUUUUUCGCAAUGGGCGCAAGCCUGACGAAGCAACGCCGCGUGGAGGAUGAAGGUCUUCGGAUUGUAAACUCCUGUCGACCGGGACGAAUGCACCCGACCUAAUACGUCGGAAUGUUGACGGUACCGGUGGAGGAAGCCACGGCUAACUCUGUGCCAGCAGCCGCGGUAAUACAGAGGUGGCAAGCGUUGUUCGGAAUUACUGGGCGUAAAGGGCGCGUAGGCGGCCUUGUAAGUCUCGUGUGAAAGCCCUCGGCUUAACUGAGGAUCUGCACGGGAUACUGCGAGGCUUGAGUUCGGGAGAGGAAAGCGGAAUUCCGGGUGUAGCGGUGAAAUGCGUAGAUAUCCGGAGGAACACCAGUGGCGAAGGCGGCUUUCUGGACCGACACUGACGCUGAGGCGCGAAAGCUAGGGGAGCAAACGGGAUUAGAUACCCCGGUAGUCCUAGCUGUAAACGAUGAUCGCUGGGUGUGGGGGGUUUUUACUCCCCCCGUGCCGAAGCUAACGCAUUAAGCGAUCCGCCUGGGGAGUACGGUCGCAAGGCUG